GAAUGGAAUGGAAUUAAUUCGAAUGGAAUGGAAUGGAAUGGAUUUAAUUCGAAUGGAAUGGAAAGGAAUGGAAUCGAAUGGAAAGGAAUCGAAUGGAAGGGAAUGAAAUUGAAUUAAUAGGAAUGGAAGGGAGUAGAAUAGACGGUAAUGGAAUGGAUUCGAAUAGAAUGGAUACGAAUGUUUAAAUUGAAUGGAUUCGAAUGGAAUGGAAACGAAAGGAAUGUUAUCGAAUGGAAUUGAAUCGAUUGGAAUGAAAUCGUAUAGAAUGGAGUGGAAUUAAAUGGAAUUGAAUCGAAAGGAAAGGAAGCGAAUGGAUUGAAAUGAAAUGGAAUGGAAUUGAAUGGAAAUGAAAGUAAUAGAAUGGAAUGGAGUGUAAUGGAAUAAUAUGGAAUGGAGUGGAAUGGAAUGUAGUGGAUAUAA
rnacentral:misc_RNA from 1 species